UCAACUUGAUUAACUAAUAGUCAAAACUUUCAACAACGGAUCUCUUGGUUCUCGCAUCGAUGAAGAACGCAGCGAAAUGCGAUAAGUAAUAUGAAUUGCAGAUAUUCGUGAAUCAUCGAAUCUUUGAACGCACAUUGCGCCCUUUGGUAUUCCAAAGGGCAUGCCUGUUUGAGCGUCAUUUCUCCCUCAAACCUUCG
rnacentral:rRNA from 1 species